CCCUCUCCCUUCGCACGAACGGGCUGGGUAGCCCAGUCCAGCUGCCACGAUCCCUAUCCUCUGCAUCUCCUCCCUUUACUGAUCCAGGGGAGCCACCGCCGCCCUCGCUUGUGAUAUCCGCGGAGGCCAGUGCCGUGUUCGGCGUCAUGCCAUGCAGGCUCAGCCACCUGCACGCGGCCACUGACGCAGCCACUGUGGCGCUACCGCCGACCACCCGCUCGUGCCACCGCGGUUUGCCGCACCGUCACGCCCUUCUCCCCGCCUGUCUCCCCACUCACGAGCAGUCUUAUCGAGGCAACCCGACGCAGAACAGCCGGCCACAGAGGGUGGCAGCGUUCAUCUCUGAGUCUCAAAGUCAGUAUUAUCAAAUUCUUAUGUAGUUUAUUCUGCAUCUCAAUGAGAGAACUAUGAAUUGAUCUUGAAUUCGUGCAAUGUGAAAGUUGUCUGAUGUGGGUGUUGGUCCUCUUACAUGUUGUGUAAUAGCCAUACCGAUCCAACUUUACUCAAGGAUGGAGAGGUUUAGGAUAUUGAAUUUUUGUUGCUAUUCCCAACUCCCAAUGGUCUAUGGUCCUAUUGCUGAUCCCAAUCCCACUCAUUCUUGCUUGCUUCUCAUUUGAUCAAUACAUAUCAUAUCCUUCUCGUUUAUUUCACAGCUUGUUGUUUUAUCCUUCACGUUUCAGCAAUUAGUCAACUGAAUUUCCCUUAUUGCAUCUGAUUAGUACUGCUGGGUUGCCUGGUAGCAUUUGCUCAGAAGCUUGACUGCCGAGACUAGACAAGACUAGCUUGACUUUCUUGAUACAUCUAAAUAUUCCAAUGUGAUAUGUUAGAAAUUCAGGGAGGAUAUUUGUUUGGCAUAUGAGGAAAUUUUGGUUAACCAAUGUUGACUCGUUCACUUGCUCACCAUGUUCUUUUGGUCUGGAUUACUUCUCUAACAUUUUAAAAAAGGCUACUGUCAAGUUUCAGUUGGCGCGGGUGUACAACGGAGGUAUAUAUGUGCUAAAAGCAUGGGUCCUAAUCAAUAAUAAGGAGCUGUGAUCAUUAGAAAAAGUAUGACGUACAGAGGUGAUCAAGCUGUAUAUAGCUAUGUGGAAUGCUUUGAUUUGAUGGUGCUGUCGGGUUGGGAGCAUGAAACAUGCUCUGUAGUUCUUUGGUUCAAUGCAGGAGGAAGGGAUGUACCUAGACCCGAAGAUCUUUAUUAAGAUCAUCCACGGGUUGGUGAAGCAAGGGGAGUGAGAUUAAAUCAAGGAGUUUUUUUUUUUGAAAAAAUAGGAUUCAAUGGCUCAAGGAGAGUAAGACCCAAGCUAGAUCGUUAUUGCUUUCCUUUAGUAGGAUGUCACAUAAUUCAUUUAGAGUGGAGCAGGAAUAUUCAAAAAGGAAAUGUACACCAUAUAUAUUCCACAGUUGUAUAUAUUAGUAUAAUA